AACAGAGAGCAGACGGUGCAUUUAAGGGGAAAAUGCAUAAAAAAGAAAAGAGAGAGAACCGGGCUUGACGAGCUUAUGAUCCAAACUCUUUUUCUUCGAACUUAUAGAAAGGGGGGCUUUGAAGCCCAAUUUUCUUAAAAAUACAUAUUUUUUAGGCCCAAGUCCAAAUAAAAAAAACAAAGGCUUAAAUGGGUUGCCGUUCGGCCGUUCCAGCUGUAGUCAAUCUUGUCCCUGGAGGUCGGCAUUGGCACUUCAUGCUCUUACUCGCGCUACUCAACCGGUUGUGUUCUACGCUCUAUUUUCGACAACUUCUUUGAUUCUGGGCAAUGGGUAUUCUAGAAUUCUUCUAUUUUCUCCAAUCUCUUAUCUGGAUUUCUUUCAUUCCAUGUUCUCAAUGAAUGUUAGGUUUCUCUUGGCUUGAUUUUCUAGCAAGUUAGAAUCUUCCAUUACUUUAAUUUUUGGAUACCUUUGCCCUUUCUGAGCCUGCUUCCUAUCUUUAGGUGCUGAAUUAUACUAUUAUACAUAUCAUUCCUAGUGACUUGAGGAAGCAGCAUGGCUCUGCUCCGCAAACCCUUGCCUUUGAUAGCCCUCCGCCCUAAGCCAUCAUUCUUCUUGAUCAGAAGCAUUUCCAAUUCCCUUAACAGAGUACCUCCCUUAUGCAGAACUAUUUUUUUUUGCUUUGGCUUCUUCAUCCCCUCCAACACAACCACUUCCUUUUGCUUUUGAAAUACUCACAUCUAGGUCUCGACUGCGAGUCACUUGAAUGGGUUGCUCAGAAUGCUUUUUGUGGUGAAUUGUCUUUAAAUAAUAUAGGUAAAAGGGUCCAGCUAUGUGGGUAGGUUGCUUUUCAUUGUGUCCAUGGUGGCCUUACAUUUCUUAAUAUUAGAGACCAUACCGGUAUCGUUCAGGUUACGACCAUUCCAGAUGAAUUUCCUGAUGCUCAUUCCACUAUCAAUGACUUGAGACUUAAAUAUGUUGUAGCUGUUAAAGGUAUUGUCCGGUCUCGUCCAAAUGAGUCCAUCAACAAGAGAAUGAAAACUGGCUUCAUUGAGGUUGCUGCAGAGAGUGUUCAAAUAUUAAAUGCUGUAAAGUCUAAGUUACCAUUCUUAAUGAACACAGCUGAUGAUGCAAAAGAAUCUCCUUAAGAAGAAAUUCAUUUGAGGUAUCGAUGCCUGGAUCUAAGGCGGCACCGAAUGAAUUCCAACAUAUUGUUGCGACAUAAAGUGGUGAAACUUAUUCGGAGAUAUUUAGAAGACACACAUGGUGUUGUGGAGAUUGAAACUCCAAUACUGUCUAGAUCCACUCCAGAAGGUGCGCGAGAUUAUUUGGUCCCCUCAAGAAUCCAGGCUCAACUCUAAACAAAAAUCAAAAUUCCCUUCCUCGCGCAACACGAGAAUGAACACACUAGAACUAACAAGAAGGGUAUGUUUGUGCUCCAUUUGGAAUUUGUUCAGCCCGUUCUUGCCUAUGCAUCUUCCUCACAGUUGGAAUGCUUAGAUCAUAGACCUUGACAGUUGCUAGACCUAGGAGGAAUCCUUAACACUAUAGCUAAGAACCUCAUUGAUUUAAAGUCUUCUAAACAUGAGAUGUGUCAUCUUGGAAAGCAUUUGCUGCUUCAACCUUGAGGUCAGCUGCAGUGGCAUUUACAGGGAGAAUCACUAACUCUAAUGGAAGGUGAGUGAUAGAAUCUUCAUAUUCAUCUUCUAGUUCUAAUUGACAUGAGAGGUACAUCUUAAACAGGUUUGAUGGUGGCAUCGUCUCGGGUUUAUGGUCCUUGACAAGCUGCUUGCAAUCAAGUUUUUGAGUGGAGCUCAUGGCAAUUGCCGUUGUGUCUCUCAAAUAAAAGGUGUCUAAAAUCCUAUCCUUCUAAAGUGCACGAAAACACACGCUCCCUUAUCUUUCUAAAA